rnacentral:rRNA from 1 species
AGUGAACGCUGGCGGUAGGCCUAACACAUGCAAGUCGAACGGCAGCACAGUAAGAGCUUGCUCUUACGGGUGGCGAGUGGCGGACGGGUGAGGAAUACAUCGGAAUCUACUUUUUCGUGGGGGAUAACGUAGGGAAACUUACGCUAGUACCGCAUACGACCUACGGGUGAAAGCAGGGGCUCUUCGGACCUUGCGCGAUUGAAUGAGCCGAUGUCGGAUUAGCUAGUUGGCGGGGUAAAGGCCCACCAAGGCGACGAUCCGUAGCUGGUCUGAGAGGAUGAUCAGCCACACUGGAACUGAGACACGGUCCAGACUCCUACGGGAGGCAGCAGUGGGGAAUAUUGGACAAUGGGCGCAAGCCUGAUCCAGCCAUACCGCGUGGGUGAAGAAGGCCUUCGGGUUGUAAAGCCCUUUUGUUGGGAAAGAAAAGCAGCAGGUUAAUACCCCGCUGUUCUGACGGUACCCAAAGAAUAAGCACCGGCUAACUUCGUG